rnacentral:snRNA from 1 species
GUGCUCGCACCCUCUAACAGCACAGAUACUAAAACUGGAACUGUACAGAGAUUAGCAAGGCCCCCGUGCCACGCUGACACAAACGCACCAAGUGUUCCGCAUUAAC